CGAAUCCUGAUGUGUUUGUCUAACUGCUAAAUCUACUUCACAGUUUUGACCGAACACUAUCGAAUCGGGAGCCUUCAUUUUGUAGUCGCAAACAUGCCCCUAGCGGAGCGGGACGUUUAAAGCUGCAAAGCGGGCACCCCCCUGCAAAUUGCGGGUUCAAAACGAAUGUUUCUUGGCAUUACGGCACAAUUGGGAUUCGU
rfam:Lysinibacillus sp. F5 Contig38, whole genome shotgun sequence.